AGACCCGAAACCCGGUGAUCUAGCCAUGGGCAGGUUGAAGGUUGGGUAACACUAACUGGAGGACCGAACCGACUAAUGUUGAAAAAUUAGCGGAUGACCUGUGGCUGGGGGUGAAAGGCCAAUCAAACCGGGAGAUAGCUGGUUCUCCCCGAAAGCUAUUUAGGUAGCGCCUCGUGAAUUCAUCUCCGGGGGUAGAGCACUGUUUCGGCUAGGGGGCCAUCCCGGCUUACCAACCCGAUGCAAACUGCGAAUACCGGAGAAUGUUAUCACGGGAGACACACGGCGGGUGCUAACGUCCGUCGUGAAGAGGGAAACAACCCAGACCGCCAGCUAAGGUCCCAAAGUCAUGGUUAAGUGGGAAACGAUGUGGGAAGGCCCAGACAGCCAGGAUGUUGGCUUAGAAGCAGCCAUCAUUUAAAGAAAGCGUAAUAGCUCACUGGUCGAGUCGGCCUGCGCGGAAGAUGUAACGGGGCUAAACCAUGCACCGAAGCUGCGGCAGCGAACGUAUCACCCAAGACAACUUUACGGAGUUGGCGAUUGACGGAGCGAAGCGACGUCAAAGCGUUCAUUAAAGUCGAGUUGGCUUAGGGAUACGUUCGUUGGGUAGGGGAGCGUUCUGUAAGCCUGUGAAGGUGUGUCGUGAGGCAUGCUGGAGGUAUCAGAAGUGCGAAUGCUGACAUAAGUAACGAUAAAGCGGGUGAAAAGCCCGCUCGCCGGAAGACCAAGGGUUCCUGUCCAACGUUAAUCGGGGCAGGGUGAGUCGACCCCUAAGGCGAGGCCGAAAGGCGUAGUCGAUGGGAAACGGGUUAAUAUUCCCGUACUUGGUGUUACUGCGAAGGGGGGACGGAGAAGGCUAUGUUGGCCGGGCGACGGUUGUCCCGGUUUAAGCGUGUAGGUGUGUGUUCCAGGUAAAUCCGGUUCACUUUAACACUGAGGCGUGACGACGAGGCACUACGGUGCUGAAGCAACAAAUGCCCUGCUUCCAGGAAAAGCCUCUAAGCAUCAGGUAACACGAAAUCGUACCCCAAACCGACACAGGUGGUCAGGUAGAGAAUACCAAGGCGCUUGAGAGAACUCGGGUGAAGGAACUAGGCAAAAUGGUGCCGUAACUUCGGGAGAAGGCACGCUGACACGUAGGUGAAGUGAUUUACUCAUGGAGCUGAAGUCAGUCGAAGAUACCAGCUGGCUGCAACUGUUUAUUAAAAACACAGCACUGUGCAAACACGAAAGUGGACGUAUACGGUGUGACGCCUGCCCGGUGCCGGAAGGUUAAUUGAUGGGGUCAGCG
rnacentral:rRNA from 2 species